rnacentral:rRNA from 1 species
UACAACAUAGUUUUAAUGCACCAGAUCCCAUUAGAACUCCAAAGUUAAGCGCCCUUACGCUAGAGUAGUACUGGGUGAGUGACCGCUCGGGAAGUUCUACUAUUUUAC